rnacentral:rRNA from 1 species
AGAGUUUGAUCCUGGCUCAGGACGAACGCUGGCGGCGUGGAUUAGGCAUGCAAGUCGAACGAGAAAGCAUUCUUCGGAGUGUAAGUACAGUGGCGAACGGGUGAGGAACACGUAGGUAAUUUACCUUUAAGUUUGGGACAACCUGGGGAAACUCAGGCUAAUACCGGAUGUGAUCGAGAGAUUAAAGGGGGCCUCUAUUUAUAAGCUCUCGCUUAGAGAUAAGCCUGCGUCCUAUUAGCUAGAUGGUGUGGUAACGGCGCACCAUGGCGAUGAUAGGUAGGCGGCCUUAACGGGUGGCCGCCCACACUGGGAUUGAGAUACGGCCCAGACUCCUACGGGAGGCAGCAGUCGAGAAUCGUCUACAAUGGGGGAAACCCUGAUAGUGCGACGCCGCGUGAACGAUGAAACCCUUUGGGGCGUAAAGUUCUUUUCUUUGUGAGCAGAUUAUUUAAUGAAAAUAUUGUUUAAUAAUAGAUAUUAGCAAAGGAAUAAGCCACGGCUAACUCCGUGCCAGCAGCCGCGGUAAUACGGGGGUGGCAAGCGUUGUCCGGAAUCACUAGGCGUAAAGGGUAGGUAGGCGGAUUAGUAAGUCAGAUGUUAAAGGCACAGGCUCAACCUGUGUACGGCAUUUGAUACUGUUAAUCUAGAGUUAGGUAUGGGAGGACGGAAUUUCUGGUGUAGCGGUGGAAUGCGCAGAUAUCAGAAAGAACACCAAAGGCGAAGGCAGUUCUCUUGGCCAUAACUGACGCUAAACUACGAAGGUGUGGGUAUCAAACAGGAUUAGAUACCCUGGUAGUCCACACAGUAAACGAUAAACACUAGGUGUCGGGGAGAUAUAUCUUCGGUGCCGUAGCUAACGCGUUAAGUGUUUCGCCUGGGGAGUACGAUCGCAAGGUUGAAACUCAAAGGAAUUGACGGGGGCCCGCACAAGCGGUGGAGCAUGUGGUUUAAUUCGAUGCAACGCGAAGAACCUUACCUGGAUUUGACAUCCCGAGAAUUCGGUAGAGAUACCUUAGUGCCUGCUUGCAGGAAUUCGGAGACAGGUGCUGCAUGGCUGUCGUCAGCUCGUGUCGUGAGAUGUUGGGUUAAGUCCCGCAACGAGCGCAACCCCUAUCCUUAGUUGCCAGCACAUAAUGGUGGGAACUCUAAGGAGACUGCCGGUGAUAAACCGGAGGAAGGUGGGGAUGACGUCAAGUCAUCAU